rnacentral:rRNA from 1 species
UACGUAGGUGGCAAGCGUUGUCCGGAAUUAUUGGGCGUAAAGCGCGCGCUGGCGGUCCCUUAAGUCUGAUGUGAAAGCCCACGGCUCAACCGUGGAGGGUCAUUGGAAACUGGGGGACUUGAGUGCAGAAGAGGAAAGUGGAAUUCCAUGUGUAGCGGUGAAAUGCGUAGAGAUGUGGAGGAACACCAGUGGCGAAGGCGACUUUCUGGUCUGUAACUGACGCUGAGGCGCGAAAGCGUGGGGAGCAAACAGG